rnacentral:rRNA from 1 species
CUACGGGAUGCAGCAGUGAGGAAUAUUGCGCAAUGGGGGAAACCCUGAUGCAGCAACGCCGCGUGGAGGAUGACGCAUUUCGGUGUGUAAACUCCUUUUAUGAGUCAAGAAAAUGACGGUAGCUCAUGAAUAAGCACCGGCUAACUCCGUGCCAGCAGCCGCGGUAAUACGGAGGGUGCAAGCGUUACUCGGAAUCACUGGGCGUAAAGGACGCGUAGGCGGGCUUGUAAGUCAGGUGUGAAAUCCUACAGCGUAACUGUAGAACUGCACUUGAAACUACGAGCCUAGAGUAUGGGAGGGGCAGAUGGAAUUAGUGGUGUAGGGGUAAAAUCCGUAGAUAUCACUAGGAAUACCGAAAGCGAAGGCGAUCUGCUGGAACAUUACUGACGCUAAGGCGUGAAAGCGUGGGGAGCAAACGGGAUUAGAUACCCGCGUAGUC